AUCGAACGCUGGCGGCAGGCUUAACACAUGCAAGUAGAGCGAGCGGCGGAAGGGAGAGUAAUGUCUGGGAAACUGCCAGAUGGAGGGGGAUAACUACUGGAAACGGUAGCUAAUACCGCAUACUAUCAGAUGUGCCCAGAUGGGAUUAGCUAGUAGGUGGGGUAAUGUCUCACCUAGGCUACGAUCCCUAGCUGGUCUGAGAGGAUGACGAUCCACACGGGAACUGAGACACGGUCCAGACUCCUACGGAGGGAGGCAGUGGGGAAUCUUGCACAAUGGGCGCAAGCCUGCUGCAGCCAUGCCGCGGGUGUGAGGAAGGCCUUCGGGUUGUAAGGCUCUUUCAGCGAGGAGGCGUUACUCGCAGAAGAAGCACCGGCUAACUCCGUGCCAGCAGCCGCGGUAAUUC
rnacentral:rRNA from 1 species